GCAGCAACAACAACAACAACAACAUCACCACCAUCACUCUCUUUCUCCUCAAUCCUCUCAAUCAUCAGCUUUCUAUUCAAUAUUAACAGAAGACUUAGCUACUCAUAUCAAACAACAACGCGAUGAAAUCGAUCAUCUCCUCCUAAUUCAGGGAGAGCAAUUGAGGCGUACAUUAGCAGAGAAAAGGCAACGUCACUACCGUGCACUGAUCGGAGCAGCAGAGGAAUCAAUGGCACGAAGACUAAGAGAAAAAGAAGCAGAGAUGGAGAAAGCAGCUCGGCGAAACGCUGAAUUAGAGGCGCGUGUAGCGCAAUUAAGCGCAGAGGCACAGGCUUGGCAAGCUAGAGCAAGAGCACAGGAAGUAACGGCAGCGACACUUCAAGCUCAGCUGCAACACGCGAUGAUCAACGGUGGAGGUUGUAAUGAGAUAAACGACGGUAACGGCGGCGAACCGGAGGAUGCUGAAUCGGCGUACAUUGACCCGGACAGAGUUGUUGAGUCAACCGGCGGUCCUAGUUGCAAAGCGUGUAGAAAACGAGUUGCCUC
rnacentral:misc_RNA from 1 species